AGAGUUUGAUCCUGGCUCAGGAUGAACGCUGGCGGCGUGCCUAAUACAUGCAAGUCGAGCGAAUGGAUUAAGAGCUUGCUCUUAUGAAGUUAGCGGCGGACGGGUGAGUAACACGUGGGUAACCUGCCCAUAAGACUGGGAUAACUCCGGGAAACCGGGGCUAAUACCGGAUAACAUUUUGAACCGCAUGGUUCGAAAUUGAAAGGCGGCUUCGGCUGUCACUUAUGGAUGGACCCGCGUCGCAUUAGCUAGUUGGUGAGGUAACGGCUCACCAAGGCAACGAUGCGUAGCCGACCUGAGAGGGUGAUCGGCCACACUGGGACUGAGACACGGCCCAGACUCCUACGGGAGGCAGCAGUAGGGAAUCUUCCGCAAUGGACGAAAGUCUGACGGAGCAACGCCGCGUGAGUGAUGAAGGCUUUCGGGUCGUAAAACUCUGUUGUUAGGGAAGAACAAGUGCUAGUUGAAUAAGCUGGCACCUUGACGGUACCUAACCAGAAAGCCACGGCUAACUACGUGCCAGCAGCCGCGGUAAU
rnacentral:rRNA from 1 species